CCCAAUCACCCGCGUCUCGCCCCACUCCCACCCCAGCCGCCAAAGGAACCCUAGCCCUCUUUCUCUUUCCCCUCGAUCCCCACGAGCCGCCGCACCCCUCCUCGAUCCCCACCAUCCUCUCCUCGCCAGUAGCUGCCGGCCGACCUCGUCUCUCCACUCGCCUCCUCCUCUCCUCUAUCAUGUCGUCGUCGAUCCCACCGCCAGCCUUCUCCUCUGCUUGCCUCCUCCUGUCCUCUUCCAUGUCACCGUCGAUCCAGAUUGGACGUAGGUCGUCUUCGCGGUGCGGGUGAGGAUGUAGGGGAGGUGUAGGAUGCGGACGACAAGGGAAGGAGGAGGCCGGCGAGGAAGGCAAGCAACAGCGGGGAAGGAGAAGGUGAGCGAUCCUAGCAUGGGGAAGGGGCAGGGUGAGGCCUCGCGCACCUGCCGGCGGCCGGCAGGUCGACUUGUUGCGCCACCGCGUUGUCACCUCCUCUGCACCAUGUGAGGCGCCACCCAUGCUGCAGGCCUGCAACAUUUAUAGAGGAGGAUUGCAGGUGUCGAUACAAUGGAGCAAUUUCUGGCUUUGUAGUUGGAGCAUAGCCUCGAUUAUGCAUGAUUUUGGGGUAAGUUCCUGGUGGUCCUAUCUCGGAUCAAUUCCUUUGCUUUCCUGCUAACCUUCUUUUCCUUCUUCAUCAGCAAUUGGAUGUUAAUCUGCUAUGGGCAGCGGCGGUGCAUCAAGGUGCAAGGCAGCAGCGGCAUGUUCAUAGUAUGCUAAAGGAUGAACUCCUACUUUUUCUGAUGCUAGCUCAUUGCUGCAGCCUGCUUACAUCUCCCAAGAUAUCCUCUUGGUCAAGGCAAUUGCACAUGAUGAAGCCACUCAUUUUAGUGGUAUACCACACUCUGAGCAAUAGGACCAAAAACAGGAAGAUAAAUUUUCACAAUUCGAUUCUUCAUAUUUUCCAGAAGUACGGCCACCUUCUGCACAGUGCCCUUGCAUUGGUGUUCUUAUCAAAUAAGUUUCUUUCCGUAGAAUUUGUUCAGGAUAUGCAUUGUGCUUAAACAUGAGUGCUCGCUCGCCGAACGUUGGCCCUCGGAUGAAUUCGGCGCUUGAAUCGAGCUGACGAGCCCCAUGGGGGUGAGAGGUGGAUAACAAUACGAGAAGGAGCAUGCCAUGGAGGAGUGCAAGCAGCGGCACUCCUCCGCAAUGGGGUAUGGCUGCAGGGGAGGGGACGCAGCCAACGACAGGAAGAAGAAGCAGGUCGUCGAGGACUACAAGCAGCAGGUUUCCUUUGACUGGAAGUCUGAAACUGAAGAUAGGGCAUAUUGUUUUGGUUCUGAGUGGCUGGAGAUAUUGUUGCUUGAUGUCCCUAGAGCACUCGGACCCUUCCAAGAUAGAAGAUCUUUGGGAUUGACGUUCUGAUGAGAAAGUAGCAUACGGAUGGAUUGACAUGAACUAUUCAGUGGUUGAACUGCGCUAUAUUUCUUUCAUUGAGGCGAGGGUGAUUCCAGUAGAUUUUGCUUGGCGUACUCGCCUUUUUUAUUGAAGUUGGGUGUCCGUCUUCUCUGCGGCAAGGAUCUAGGGAGUCAGAUUGCGGAUUACAUGUAGUGGGGAAGUAGAGAGGGGGACGAGGAAGAGGACACCGUCGGUGGCGUGCUAUAUCUCACUAGGCGACAAUGUUGAGAGGGUGCCUGGCAUCAAGAACCCGACAUGCUUUUCCGAGUGUUCGUUGAGAUCUAUGCUGUCGCGGCAACACAGGCCAAUACACAUUCAGGAAAUAUGUCACCAACUUCCCCAAGGUCCCGCAUCGUCUACUCAGGAUAUUCUGUGCCCCAAGCCCUACAGAAUAAUGCCCAGUCUAAUUUCAGCAGUGGGCAUGACAGCCUCAAACUUCUCUCUUCAAUAUUGAAGAAGCGGCUUACUCAGAUCAAUGGGCAUGCACUUAGAAAAAUAGCUAAAGAGUACGAGAUAUUCCUAGUGUAAAUAAAGGGCAUGCUGUGCUCAUAAGUUAGACAGAAGCAAAAUGUUAUUUAUUAUGCUCUUGUUGUAUCCUCGGACAUUUUCUUCCACCUACCUUGAAUAUCUACUUUCCCACCGUCGUACAGAAACUGAUGUUAUUAUUUGUGCA